rnacentral:rRNA from 1 species
AGAGUUUGAUCCUGGCUCAGAUUGAACGCUGGCGGCAUGCCUUACACAUGCAAGUCGAACGGCAGCACGGGGGCAACCCUGGUGGCGAGUGGCGAACGGGUGAGUAAUGCAUCGGAACGUGCCCAGUAGUGGGGGAUAGCCCGGCGAAAGCCGGAUUAAUACCGCAUACGUACUGAGGUAGAAAGCGGGGGACCGAAAGGCCUCGCGCUAUUGGAGCGGCCGAUGUCGGAUUAGCUUGUUGGUGGGGUAAUGGCCUACCAAGGCGACGAUCCGUAACUGGUCUGAGAGGACGACCAGUCACACUGGGACUGAGACACGGCCCAGACUCCUACGGGAGGCAGCAGUGGGGAAUUUUGGACAAUGGGCGAAAGCCUGAUCCAGCAAUGCCGCGUGUGUGAAGAAGGCCUUCGGGUUGUAAAGCACUUUUGUCCGGAAAGAAAUCCGUCUGGCUAAUACCCGGACGGGAUGACGGUACCGGAAGAAUAAGCACCGGCUAACUACGUG